rnacentral:rRNA from 1 species
UGAGGAAUAUUGGUCAAUGGACGAGAGUCUGAACCAGCCAAGUAGCGUGAAGGAUGACUGCCCUAUGGGUUGUAAACUUCUUUUAUAUGGGAAUAAAGUAUUCCACGUGUGGGAUUUUGUAUGUACCAUAUGAAUAAGGAUCGGCUAACUCCGUGCCAGCAGCCGCGGUAAUACGGAGGAUCCGAGCGUUAUCCGGAUUUAUUGGGUUUAAAGGGAGCGUAGGUGGAUUGUUAAGUCAGUUGUGAAAGUUUGCGGCUCAACCUUAAAAUUGACGUUGAAACUGGCAGUAUUGAGUACAGUAGAUGUGGGCGGAAUUCGUGGUGUAGCGGUGAAAUGCUUAGAUAUCACUAAGAUCUCCGAUUGCGAAGGCAGCUCACUAGACUGCAACUGACACUGAUGCUAGAAAGUGUGGGUAUCAAACAUG